rfam:Ipomoea nil DNA, scaffold: scaffold3400, cultivar: Tokyo-kokei standard.
GCAACAGUGGUCCAGUGGUAGAAUAGUACCCUGCCACGGUACAGACCCGGGUUUGAUUCCAGGCUGGUGCA